CUAAUUGUUUAUUUAUUACUGUCCCUCUAAGGAAGGCUUAUAAGAACAGAAAUCUUCUAUGUCUUAGUCUCUGCUAUUGCCCCCUGUCCCUGGCACACUGGAGGCAUUCGAUGCUGGAAUGUGAGUCUGUGCAGAGACUGGACCGCACGGCACCCUGCCUUUCAUAAGAACCACACCUACCUUUCCCCACAGAAUCUCCAGAAUCACAGAGUGAACUGGAUGGUACCUCUGCCAUUUUACAGAGGGGGAAACUGAGGUUCAGAGAUGUUCGGUGUUGUGCUCAAGGUCACUCAGCUAGGAAAUGACUGCAUGAGGCCUGGACCUGGGCUUGUCUGGUCUGAAGGCUGGUGAACUUUUGUAUAUACACUCUGGAGGGGGCCUUCCUCAUGUCUCAAGAAACACCACCUGAGACAGACUCAGCGCACUCAUAUCUGUCUGUUUUGUCUACUACAGUAUCCCCA
rnacentral:lncRNA from 1 species